AGUGAACGCUGGCGGUAGGCCUAACACAUGCAAGUCGAACGGCAGCACAGUAAGAGCUUGCUCUUACGGGUGGCGAGUGGCGGACGGGUGAGGAAUACAUCGGAAUCUACUUUUUCGUGGGGGAUAACGUAGGGAAACUUACGCUAAUACCGCAUACGACCUACGGGUGAAAGCAGGGGAUCUUCGGACCUUGCGCGAUUGAAUGAGCCGAUGUCGGAUUAGCUAGUUGGCGGGGUAAAGGCCCACCAAGGCGACGAUCCGUAGCUGGUCUGAGAGGAUGAUCAGCCACACAGGAAAUGAGACACGGUCCAGACUCCGACGGGAGGCAGCAGUGGGGAAUAUUGGACAAUGGGCGCAAGCCUGAUCCAGCCAUACCGCGUGGGUGAAGAAGGCCUUCGGGUUGUAAAGCCCUUUUGUUGGGAAAGAAAAGCAGCAGGUUAAUACCCCGCUGUUCUGACGGUACCCAAAGAAUAAGCACCGGCUAACUUCGU
rnacentral:rRNA from 1 species